rnacentral:rRNA from 1 species
GACGUAGGGGGCAAGCGUUGUCCGGAUUUAUUGGGCGUAAAGAGCUCGUAGGCGGUUUGGCAAGUCGGAUGUGAAAUCUCCGGGCUCAACUCGGAGGGGCCAUUCGAUACUGCUAUGACUCGAGUCCGGUAGGGGAGUGCGGAAUUCCUGGUGUAGCGGUGAAAUGCGCAGAUAUCAGGAGGAACACCGGUGGCGAAGGCGGCACUCUGGGCCGGUACUGACGCUGAGGAGCGAAAGCGUGGGGAGCGAACAGG